rnacentral:hammerhead_ribozyme from 1 species
ACCGGCUGACGAGUCCCAAAUAGAACGAAACGCGGUUCCUGGAU